GUCUACGUCCAUGCCGCCCAGAACACGCCGGAUCCCGUCUGAUCUCAGAAGCUAAGCAGGGUCGGGCCUGGUUAGUACUUGGAUGGGGAGACCACCUAAGAAGACUGGGUGCUAUAGGUG
rnacentral:rRNA from 1 species